rnacentral:piRNA from 1 species
CCAAUGGGGAGCUGAAUCACCUGCCGC